rnacentral:sRNA from 1 species
GCUGGGUAGGCAUGAUGGUGCAUGCCUGUAAUCCCAGCAGCUUGGGAGGCUGAGGCAGGAGGAUCACAAAUUCAAAGCCAGACUCAGAAAAAGUGAGGUGCUAAGCAACUCAGUGAGACCCUGUCUCUA